CCAACAGACUGUAGACAUAUUCUGAACGCUGUCCUAGAUCACGUGAAGGCACAGCUUCAGAGGUUAAAAAUUUCGGAAUCUGGAAACCAGAGAGAAUGUUUAAGUACUCUUCUUUAUUAAUUGUAUGACUAUCAGAGAUGUCUGAGCCACCAGGAGAGUUCCAGGCGCCGCGGCGGGGGGACUGGGAGAGAGGACUGCGCCCAGAAUGAAGGCUCGGGACAAAAGCAGUUGCGCAAACGCGCCAAGGCUGGGCGUCGAGUGACCGCGGGCGGAGGUCACCAGCGGCC
rnacentral:sRNA from 1 species